GGCGAUUCGAUGUUGAGGUGCGGCUUCCUUACUGUCGAUGAGGCAAGGAGGAUACUGCACGUCGGUGUUGUUGCUAAAUUACGUGAUGAAUUUUCGUUAGAGGUGAAGGAUACUAAUUUAGAGAAUAAAAGUUUUACGAGAAUCUGUAUGAACGAGUUUCUUCGGAUUGCAUUGCUCUCUGCAGUAAAUAUAAGCGCUUAAAGAGCGACUACGGCCUAUUGAAAGGCUACUAUAAUAGUCUGCUUGCUGAGAAAGAGCGCUUUGUUUCAGAGCGGAAGGAAUAUGAAUGACAAUUUAGAAAAAUAUUUUCGGUACUUAAA
rnacentral:lncRNA from 1 species